UGCUUUCUCCCAUGUAUACAUGUUAUUAAACUUGGUAUUAUUUUCUCCUGCUAACCUGUCUUGUUAAUUAUUUGGCCAGCCAUAAGAACCUUAAGGAAAAGGGCAGAGGGAGAUUCUUCCUCUUCCCCUGACAGUUUUGGCGUAGUCGGCAGGAUCCACACUGGCUGGCAAGUUGCCUUCUCUGGCUGGAAGACCUGCCUUCUCCCUGGACUACUGCAGAUGAUGAGAUACGGGAACGCCUGACGAAAGCCGGCAAAAGGUAAGACUUCUUACCACGUCAGCCUCCCGGAAUCUCUAUCUGUGGGGUCCGGCGGAAGGAAGUGGACACAAUUGGAAACACUGGUUAUAUUACCAAGGUUGUGACUGGAACAUCAUAUUUGCGAUACAAUCAUACAGCUUUUGAGGAAUGAAGAUUGGACUUUAUGGAAUAAAGCCACGUGGAAAUAUUGGCCUGGUACCUUUAUGUUCCAAGCAGCACUUACCAGGAUAAGUAAAGAAUGUCACUUAUCUGGCAGGUACAAGGAACCUCGAAAUAUUUUGGGGGAACCUCGGAAGAGAGGAAUUCACCCAAAUCUGUAGGUAUUACAGGCAAAGUCUGAUGACAAAAUCCUUGGCUUGGCUUUCCUGGCCUGGAGAGGCCUUUAAAGUUCAAUCCGAGAUUCCUUAUAAAAAGUUCCAGCAAAGCAGAUUUAAAAGAGCCUAUGUGAUCAAUUGCUAUUCUUGCUGUACUUAUGUAAGUAAUUGGGCCAACUCUAUUGGAACUAGACUUAUUUUGCAAACUAGUUAGUUUUAAUUUGGCUAUCUUAAUAAAAAUGAGGGUGAUUUUAGAGAGAAAAAUUGUAUUUCAAUAAAAACUAUAGUAUACAUUUGCGGAUAUUAGCUCCUAGUUUUGUUAAUUGUCUUUUGAGGUUUUUGUUUUAUAUCUGUUGACUGGACUAGAUCCUGAUUUCUUCUAGUCUCCUGAAAUAUCUGGCUACAGAUGUCCAAACUAACGUUUUUGAUUUUUUCCAUCAUUUUCAUUUGAAAUCACGGAAAACUGAACCUGCCCUUUUUCCUGAAGUCUUACAAGCUCAAGCUGAUGGACUUGACAUAAACUUAAGAGAUUACCCGAUGACAUCAUCAGAGACAUUUUAAACUGCAAAAGAUACUUUGAUGCUGACAUCUAAAAAUCUUCUUAACUGGCUGUCCUCUGAACUCAGAAACUGGUUUACAAUUUGCUCCAAUCAUUAACCUUGUUUUCUUUUGUUUCCAUAGAAAUGCUUCUUAUUAAAUACUUGAUUGCUUGCUUCCACAAUAUAGGCGUAACCUUGAGAGCCCACCUGCAUCACCACCUUCUAAAAUGAACUUAAUUAAACUGAUCUAUUAUCAG